GAUGAACGCUAGCGGAAGGCUUAAUACAUGCAAGUCGAGGGGUAACAUGGGAGCUUGCUCCUGAUGACGACCGGCGCACGGGUGAGUAACGCGUACACGAUCUACCUUUAGGAAAGGGAUAGCCCUGGGAAACUGGGAGUAAUACCUUAUAGUAUUAGAGAUUAUAAUUUUUUCUAAUUAAAGUUCCGGCGCCUAAAGAUGAGUGUGCGUCCUAUUAGCUAGUUGGUAAGGUAACGGCUUACCAAGGCGACGAUAGGUAGGGGGCGUGAGAGCGUGGACCCCCACACGGGUACUGAGACACGGACCCGACUCCUACGGGAGGCAGCAGUAAGGAAUAUUGGACAAUGGGCGCAAGCCUGAUCCAGCCAUUCCGCGUGCAGGAUGACUGCCCUAUGGGUUGUAAACUGCUUUUGUAUGGGAAGAAACCCUGAUAUUUAUAUUGGGCUGACGGUACCAUAAGAAUAAGCACCGGCUAACUCCG
rnacentral:rRNA from 1 species